ACUCCGUCUUCUCAUCACUUUACAAGUCACGAAUCGCAGGCUGGCAGUGGCGAUCAAGGCAGUUUGUGGGGUAGGUGUGAGCCGGGACGUGAAAUUUGCUCAUCACGUCGUGGUGUGGCCGGAGAGGCGUGGCGGCGAUUGCAGUGUUGUCCUCGGGAAGCACCGGUGUUGACGUUCAACCACGCAGCUUCCGAAUGAGGCAGAUGUCAGCAGACCGGCCACCACCGCCACCUUCCUUCGGGUGAAAUCCAGUACCCAGUCACUGCUGGAAUGGACAAGGGCACAGGUGUGAGAUCUUUCUUCAUAAGUAUGAUAAACACGUUUGUCUUAAUCAGUAAAAAUAAUAAAUGUUGGGUGUGCAACACUACACAACGUUGUCGCAGCGAUGGGAGGAGAGUUUCACAGUCUUCCCAUACACAGUCUUCACCUGUUCGGUGCCAAACUGGCCAUACACGAACAUGCACUCCGAGGGGUAGCCGAGGGAGCGGAAGGAGUACAGGGCUGAGAGGACCAUUGCUGGGCCGCCACACAUCACAAUCUGUGAGGUUUUGUGACAUAAUUGUUGAUCAUCUGGGUGUCAAUGAAUCCCUCCUCACCUUCCCACUCCUCGGGCACCUCCCCCAGCGUGUACACCACCUGCAGCCUGCUGUCUUUGUCUGUGAUGAAGACAUUAUGUGGGAGACUAACUGUUGGGUCCUUGAGGAUGGAGCGGAUGAGCUGCAUGCCAGGCGUGAUGCCACCCCCUGAGGCCAGCAGUGUCAGUUCCUGCAGCUGGUUUGGCAAGUACUCAAAUCCUCCACAAGGGCCCUGGAAUUCCACCUUGUCACCUGGAAGCAAGUGUUUUUUGUAACAGGGGUGAUACAAAGUCGUCUUCUCUUUACCCCCAACUUUCCACAAAUAUCCAUUAAAAAUAUACCACACUGAAAAAAAA